rfam:Schistosoma curassoni strain Dakar, Senegal genome assembly, scaffold: SCTD_scaffold0004049
AUCCAGCUGACGAGUUCAAAGUAGAAUGAAACGCGCAUCCUAGAU